GUGGAGGCAGAUAGGAGCCCAAAUUUCAUCCCAGCGCAUUUACCCGGCUGCACCAGCAGCGGAAAGCUUUCGGUGGGCUUCGCAGGGUGACGCCGAUGCCAAGGCACACGCUUUUAGCGUAAAUACCAGCGGUUUGCUCCCCGAGCAACGCCGGCCGACUUCUGGAAGAGCGAGUAUUUAUUUUAUGGAAGAGAAUUAUUUUUGUAGAAGGUUGGCCUGAAAUGCCCGGGUUUGCACCUGGGCAUCACAGUCAUGGCAUCACAGUCGUGGUGAUUUCUGGAUCGUAUGCUUUCUGGAUCAAAGGUUGAUGGCUCACAAGCGUUCAGAGGCUUCAUCUGGACUCAGCUGUACAUAUCACAUUUCAGAUGAGUACUUUUUUGUUGUUGUUUUUAAUGACAUACAGUUUUUUUUAAAUGGGGAAUGUCACAGCUUAUUAACCAUAGUUGUGCCACUGGGUAUCAAUCCAACAGCUGAAAAACCUAUGCGUCGUAUUGUAGCAAUUGCCUACAUAAUGUCUGGGCUUGUUUGUGUGGUUUUUGUUUUUUAAACUAAGAGAAUGAAUUCAUUUGAGUGACUGCAAAGCUCAGUAAAUACCAGUUAUCAAUUCUCUUUCUAAUGACAACUGAUGACAUGAUUUUUACAAAUGGUUGAGCACUUGGCAAAUGCUAACCAUAGAAAUCGAAUGAGCUGAAAGAAACUCCAGUCUGCCCUUUUGUCGCUGCUGAGCUGACAGAUGGGAAAAAGAGGAGGAGGCUGUGAUGCUCUCCCAGAAGCCCAGGGGCACACCACAAAAUGACUGCUGAAGUGUCUUGAAAGGCCGUAAGUAAGAGAGGAGCAGAUUUCCAGAGAGCAGACAUCACCUAUGUUUUGCUUUUAAAGUUGCCCUUUCUAGCACAGCCCUCACAAGCGGGCUGGCCAAAUUCUCUGCAGAGCAGCCAGCACCAGAGCUCAUUCAAGCCUCAGAGGUGGAGGUGAAACUGGAUUUUCCACGAGGGAAGGAGGAGCUGGAGCCAGGCUGCCUACUCCAGCAGCUGCUGGGAGAGCGGGAGGGCAGGGCUACCAUUACAACUGCCCCAGGCAGGUGGCCCAAACGCCAGCAUCUGCCGCUGCCCUGGACAACAUCACGUGCCUGGGCACCAUCAGCACGGCCGGGGCGCUUUGGUACCCCGGCCGUCUGCUGCUGCCAGCAGCUGCCCACUCUGCCAGUGCCUAGGCAGCAGGGAAAAUCCCCCUGGUACAUGCAAAAGCCUGUAAGCACCAGAAUAAGAAUUGAGAAAUGGGCGGUGGCAGUCUGUUGAGAUCAGAUCGCUCAGCCUUGCCUCUCCUUACCUAUCUUAUUCUUUCUUUUUUUUUUUUUUUUUUCCUCAAUUAGUCUAAUGUGUCUCCUUUGGUUUUGUAAAAAGUGACUUGAGAAGUUAAAAGUACCAAACUUCAGUAGCUUCACCCAUAUGUGCUGCGCGCCUCAGGCUAGACAGCACAUAUUGGUAGCCAGACUGAGAAGAACAUUUACCACAUUACCUCUUAAAAACUCACUUUAUUUUUCUUGUUGAGCUGGCUCCCAUCCAAUGUGACACUCCAGCAUGAGCCAUGCAGUGACAGCAACAGCUCCAUGGAAACACACCGGAGCAUGAGGCCAGUUGUGGGGUAGAGAGAAAAGGCAGCUCCGUCUUUUUCCUUAGUCUGCCGCAUUUUUUUCUCUGAACAAGCUUUCUUUUCAUUUUGAAAGCGUUAUUAGGAGCGCCCCUCCCAGGCCUCUGUGUCUUGGGUACACCUCUUGUAGCAAUGCAAAGUUAUGCUGUCCUUGGAAAACCUGGGGCUGACUGCGAGGCAUGACCAUCUCACAUCCCCAGCCUUAGGGACCUCCACUCCUCUUUUUUACGUGUUGGAGCCAGGAGGGGAACCUGCCUCUGCAACGGAGACGUGAAUAAAUGCCGGCCUGCGGUGGGUGGAGGUCUGAAAGCGCACUGCGGAGUGAGGGGCUCUGGCGGAGACUGCCCUGACAGCAGCCCUGGUCCUGCUCUGCCGAAGGUCCUGCAGACUGAGCAUCUCUUUUCGGCUAAAAGGAGGUAGAAAAGGGAAACAGCAUCUUAGAAAUUUCCUCGCUGUCUUUCAGAGUUUUACGUACCCCCUCUUCAACCUGGAACAGGUUUAUUGGGAAAAGGGUGAGUGGAGGGGGGAUGUUAAGCACGUUGCUCUUCCAGUAGAGGAACUGGAGAGACUUUGAUGGUCAGGAUGCCCUGAGGAGGAAAUCUCUCGUGAUGGUGGCUAUCACCGUGCCCGCCUCUUCAUCAUACUGAAAACUCACUCCCCCAUCUAUUAGCAGCAUGCAAAGUUGCCAAAUGCCAUUAUGAUGUAAUUGAUGAUAUAAUUUUCCCUUAAUAUUUCUCUGAAAUUUUCCUUUUUUCCCCCCAGCCUGCCUUGAAGUAAAUCUCUCAGCCUGAAUAUCUACUGUUCAAUGCAGACAGUGAACCAGUGAUACCUGCUUGGCAUCAAGCCCCAGCAUCUGCUUUGGACCCAUGGAGAGGGAAGGAAGCAUCUUCCCCCAAGUCUUCCAGGCACCUCUAACCCCUUCAGCCUUGUCCUGCAGCAGCAACUUCUCCAGUCCUAUCCUUGGUGUCCCAGGGUCCUACCUUUGUCAUCCCUGGGUCUGGGGAUUCCUCCCAGCCAGAGGCAGAGCCUUCGCUGCCUCUGCAGCUGCAGGAAUGUCCCAGGAAACUGGGAGGUGGGCCAGGAGGACUCAAGGUGAAACAGAGCCUGAAUGAAAGCCCUGGCUCCUUUUGUUGCUUCAUAAUUCUAGUUAUAACCUUGAUUCACAGUGAAACAAUUUGAUGAAGAGAAAAAAGAAAGACUUCCCUGUAAGAAGAUUUCUUUUUAUUGUCAGCUUUCACACAGUCAGAGGAAGAAAUUCCCCAGGCAAUCAGAGCUUCUAACAUUACAGGCACAAGGCCCUUCCAGUAACAAAGUAGACCCUAAUUUUAGAGGUGAGACUAUUAAAGCAGAGGAAGGGGUGUGUUUCACCCACACAAUGGAUGCCGGCAUCAACCUCAGACUGUGGAUCACUCCUGCCUGCGGAGAGGCAGGGUAGCUUUGCCCUGGCAGUAUGAGUCAACAUGGCCAUUUGCACAACAGAUAAGACAAAAUUUCCCAUUGGAUGAAGACCUGCAAAAUUUGGUCCCAUAGGAAAGAACUCAGGAGUUCUCAGGAACAUCCCAAGGAGCCCUUAUCACUUUGUUAGUCACAAUCAGAUGCAAAGUCCCCACCAUUGCUUUGGUUGCAUUUUUCCCUGGAUGGGAGAAAAAAAUCCAGGCAAAUGUGAUGCCCCAGAGCUCUGUACUCAUAACCGUUCACCCCGAACAGUCUGCCUCUUUAAAUGAAACACAGGCUGGGACACACUAUCAGCUUCUCAGAAAGCCGAAGGUGGAUGUGUGCCAGGGAUUUGUGCAGCUUCCUGGCUUUGCAGAUAAAGGAGGGCCACUGCGAGGUAAACCUCUGCUCUCUCCCCGACACGUUUCCUCUGCGGCUGCCCAGAAACAAGGGACCUGAGAAGACACAGCAAACAUGGAGGUGGCGGCACCAGAGCCAACUGCCUGCGCAGGAGGAGGCUGCUGAAGAGUUCGCCCUCUUCUACAUUUAGAAAUGUGAGCUUCAAGCCUGGGCAUUUGCAUCAGCCAGUGGAAAGUAUGAGAAAGCACAUCUAAUGCUGAAAGUUAAUGAUAGCAUUUGACCAUGUUAACCAGUAAAUGACAAGGCAGGGUCAUGGGAGUUAAUUAUUCAAGUAACUGAUUGCUAAAAGAAAUGUUUAAGAAAUGCUGGUAGUUUGUACUGGCUGUGAUGGAAAGUGACUAAUCAUUUCAAAGUUUAACUUUGACAGCUCUAAGGAGACCCUUCUUGCUUUUUUUUUUCUGGUUUUGUUUUUUAAAUCAAUAUUGUCUACCUCACAGGCAGAACAUUAAAGGUUUAGAAGAAAAAAAAAAAAACAACACAAGCUGGCUAGAAAGGCACCUGUGACAUGAAGACAAGAGCUUCAGGAGAGAAGCAAUCUGGUUUACAGGGGUUCAGCUUUGGGAGUUGGGGGGUCUUGCCCCAGCCCCCGACCUCCCACAUGAUGUGGUGCCACUCUUCUCGCCUCUCAGUACUUGUAUAUUUAAGUUAUGGCCUCUUUGAAGCAAACUCCACCUUGUUUUUUCAGUGCCAAGCACAAUCAGGCCCUGCUCGCCGCUGAUGUCCCUCGGCACUGCCAUGAUAUAAACACUAAUGAAGAGAGACUGCUCAUAUCUGCGUAACCCCGACUGAAUCCACCACUUAAAAAAUUUCAUUAUUUUUUUGGUGCCCGGAUAAUUUAAAAAACUCCCAGGCAAAAUACAAUUACUGCCCUGCCAUAACUGCUAAGCUUCUGUGGGACAUAGCUGCAUAAUUUUAAGAGCCAAACAUUCCACUAGACCUCUUUGUUUCAACAAUCACAUACCAGAGAGGGAGGUAAUACUGGCAACGUAUUUUUCUUCUUAUGUAUGCUGAACUGUUUUACAACUUCUAAUACUGAUAUAUGAAUCUACAAUAUAAAAAAAAAAAAAAAAGUAUAAACUAACAUUUUAUGACACUACAACAUAUAUACACCACUUCUCAUCCCAAGUGUACUUAAAUCAGACAUACAGUUGUCACUUGACCUCUCAGAGAAGCGCUGCUAUCUCCAGACUGGGACACAGCGUGUGUUUAAUGAACAGCAUUUGAGGUUUGGACACGGACAAGAAUAUUUUUCCCACUUACAGCUCUGGUAAGGAUAAAGCAAAAAAUAAAAGCACAUUUAAUGCAUAUAUGCUUACUAAGAUAUUGAAACUAAAAGGAAGACAGACUUGGAGAACUUAAAUAUGAAGAAUAUAUUACAGAGGAUAAAAAUGAAAUUUGAGCUGGAAGAUGAGAGGGCAACUAAGUGAAUAUUAUUUUUUUGUGAAAAAAAAAAAAAAAAAAAAAAAAAGCCUUUGAGAUUACAGUCUGGUUAUUUAAAAGCCUGGCUUUACCCUUAUCUGAAAACCAGAACCCCCAGUGUUACCUGUGCCCAUUGCUGGGGUGGGUACUGCACUGGAAUGCAACCUUUGGGAAUACCUCAAAGGGAAGAUUGCAAAAUCCUCAGUAGUAUUGCCUAUGGGAAAAAAAAAAUAAUUUAGAAUAAUUUAUUCUUGAUGUGUAGCACAAAACUGCAGAGGUUGUAGGAGUCUCCUAUUCUUCCUGUUCAUGUUGUAGGGGUGCUAGGGAGGCUAUCUCAUUGGGUUCUCAAAGAGACAGGGAAGUCCACUUGUAAGAUGGGUCAACAUGCAGGCAUGGUCAACUCUUUGUUAAACGUUGUCUUGCACCUUUUUCCCAAAAUGGCUUUUUAGCAACAGUCCUCUGGGUAUGCAAUCACUACAGUGAUUACCGUGACUACCCUUGUCACAAGCUUAAGUCAUGCUGCUCAGGAUGUCAUUGUCCCUGGAACACCCAGAACAGCUUAGAAAUGGCUGGCAUGAUCUAGAAAGAGUGACAGACAUAUGACCCAUUCUACCAGAAUUCACGAGAAGACAGGAGAAAGUCCAGCGCCAUGCUUGUGACUGAAUGCCAUUUUCUGUAUCAAUGGAGUGGUCCCAAACAUCACAAGGAGCUGUCGGUGGCCAGAUGGAAGGAAACUCAGCCAUGGCUAGAAAAAAUGUACUUGGAGAGCAGGGCAAGGGUGGUGGGAGGCAGGGGACAUAAGGAUAAAGAAAACCUUUGAUGUAACUCAUACCCAAGAAUAAAUAUAAAAGAACGUAAAAAAUUUUAAAGUUAUCGUUGCAAACAAUCCAGUGCCAAGUCAGCCUACAUUAAGGGUAACCGUGUAAGAUAAACAUGUAAAUUGAAGAUUGCAGACUGCAGAGGUUUGGUUUUCAAGUCCCAUUGCUCAAGUCAAGAACAAUUUACUCUUCUGCGGUACUUGGAUCGAGGCAGAGGGAUAUGGUAAAGGCAGUGUGGGUGGUUCACACUGCUCACUUUGCUUUGGCCUGGGAAGCUAGGAAGCCACAACAGUUCUUUGCUUGUAGACUGUCUGUUUCUCUAAGCAUGAAUGUCCCUUUUGUCCUCUAACAAUCCCAUUUUUGUGUUUAGGAAGAAAGUCUUUGACCCUUUCCUGGACUAGGAAUGGAAGCCAACCGAAGCAGCAGGAUGCUCGUCUUCCAAAACUACUUUGUGGUUCUCUCUUUUGAUGCCAUUGCUGGCAUCAUGCAAGCCAGGGUGAUGUCAAGCUACUUUGUUAAUCUGCCUUCACCAACCUAUACCCAUAGUGAUAAGCACUGCUUAUAAUAUGUUUUUUCAGACUUCCCUGCACUAUCCUCGUACUUAUUCCCUAGGAAUAAUUUCAGCUGGAGGUUAUAGAUCUUCAGAUCCGCAUUAUGUCCAGAGCAGGCAGAUGGGAUGGAGAGGCCCUGCAUCAUGCUCUCUUGAUUCUGGCCUGCUUAUUUUUCUGAUUAUCUUUAUGGGGAAACUUUCAGUCAGCUUUGAGUUUUACUUCCUUGUGUAAACCUACCAGUUUUAGACAGUGUGGCAGUGAUACAUACUUUGAGGUGAGCGUUGGUACUUAGAUGUGCCUGAGCUUCUUUUAUAGUCAUUGUUCAUAAUUCAGAGGCAACAGUCACAUAUUUAGUGCCUUUUUAGGAACUGCAAAUUAUUCACAGUUCAGUCUACCUCUCCAGCUGCCACUGUGGAAGGGUCUUCCGUGGGUCAGUCCUGGGCCACACGUGCGUCCUCCACGUGGAUAUCUUGGGUACCAUAAGUGAUCUCAAAUGGCACAAGGUCAUUAUCUGUGGACAAAUAAAUGAAGAUUCUAUCUCACA